UUUUUUUUAGUUUUUAUUUCACAUAGUUUUUAUUUUUGGUUGAGUCACAGGUUAAUGGGAAGUCUGAGUACCAUAAACUUAAGCUUGAAGCAUGACAAAGAAUGAGUGUGGGGUCUCAUAGAUCUCCUUUAUAUGAAGAUGCUACUAGCUAGGACUAGAGGCCUCAGGAAGUAUUUCUAUCUUUUAAUUUAAAAGUUCACUUUGGGGAUAAAGUAGAUUUUUAAGUGUGGAGUGGGAAAAUUUCUAAUUUUUGACUCAAUUUAAGAAAAAAUUAGAUUAGGAAUAAGUGAGAUAUUCUUGUUGGUGCUAUUUUUUAUUACAUAAUGAAAGUGGGUUUGUUGGUAAAAGCAUGUUGAAUUGUGUGAAUUGUUACUUUUGAGACUCUUAGGCUCAUGUUUGUGACUUUAGUUUUGCAGCUUAAUUUUGAAUUUAUGCUAUUGUUUGAUUCGGAGUCUAUGAUAAUCCUAUUAAGUUGAGCAUGCACCAUGUGCGUGUAAAUAUUUUUUGUAUAUUCCUUGUUGCAUAUGAUGUCUAGAACUUGUCCGGUGUGUGUGAAGCAAAAUAAAGAAUGUGGUUUUAUGAGAUGAUUUAGGCAUUUCUUUGAUAGCCUUGUUUUAUACCUUCUUUUUGACCUACUCAUGUACAUUAUCCUAGUUAACCCCCAUUGAUUCGUUAGCUUUUUCUUUGGUAGCCUUAUUUGUAGCCUAAUUCCUUCUUUGAUAGACCAUAAUUUGAUCCAAAAAGCUCCUAAGUGCUUUAAUUGAAAAAAUAUUGAAUUAGUAAGGAGUUUGAGAAAUUGAAGAAGAAAAAAGUGAAAUUGAUGCCCCAAGGUAAUAGUUAUUGGUGUAUAAUUGAUGUGUGAUGGAUGAAUGUGAUAUAAUUUAUACUAAAAAUAUUUCCAUGAUUGUGGAAAAAAGAGAAAAAAAAAUUUUGUGGUAGUAAACUAUGUGUCCACCAAGUGUUUGUAAAAAUGCUUAAAAGAGAUGGGGCAAAAAUAAAAGAAUGGGUAGACAAAAAUUGUGUCAUUUGGCUGUAUAUAGUGUAUUAAAGCAUUUAGAGAGGAUAAUCACUAUUCCCAAAUAGUUCCUACUCAUUCCUUAGCCUACAUUACAACCCAAAAGAAUCCUAAUUGAUCAUAAGUCUUACAUUCGACUAUUAGUGUAGACUUACACUAAGGCAAGCCUAUGGUUCAUUGUGUGUAACUUGUGAAUUCUUUGUGAGAGUGAGCGUAAUUUGAUUCUUGUACCCAUUAUGUUAUAAAUUACAUUAUUGUGAGUGAUUAUGGGUAUCUCUCUUGGUAUGAGGGAACAUGUUUGAUGAAUCUGGGUGAUUUGUAUGAUGUUCUUAAUUGAGCAAUAUGCAUGAGUUUGACACUUAGGUGAGUUAAUUCUUGAGGUUAGGAUGUUUUAGAGUAGUGUUCAUGAGCUUUCAAUUGUGUAUAUAACAUGUUUUGUAUAGAAACUUGCAUUUCGUGUAGUCAUUGUAGUACUAACUUAAGUGUCUUGCAUUUAGUAGAAGUAUAGCAUCACGUUAGAUUUUUAUGCUUAGAGUAAAGAGUUGUUCGAGGACGAACAAGAGUUUAAGUGUUCAAGAACGAACAAGGCUUUAAGGGGGGGGUGGUGAUAUGAGGUGGUUUUAUACACUUUUGUAUCAUUAUUCUAGCUUAUUUCACCUUGUUUUGAGAGCAAUUCGUGUUCUUUAUGUGUUCAUAUUGAUAUAAAUUAGCAUUUAAGUGUACAAGUGUGCAUUUACAAUGUUCGAAGUAUUUUUCAAACAAGUUUGUGCUUAAUUUAGUAAUUUAGAGUUCAACCCAAAAAACUAGUUUUACUAGCUUGAGCAAGGUGUAUGUCGAGUUGGUCUCGGUAUAUUUUAACGUGUUUAAUUUAUUCUAAAUUUUUUAAUGGUGUAAUUUUACGUGGAAUAACUUGUUUGUAAUGGAUAAAGUUUAAUUUGCUUAAGUCAAGAGUCAGAAUGAUAAGUGGACGAGCAUUGCAAAUUUGUCUUAUCUUAGCUUGUGUUUUGAUUUGUUGUUAAGAAUAGUGUUGUUUUGAUCUUUAAUUUGUGAUGUAUGAUAUUGUAGGAGGCUUGGUGAAUUAAAUAUGGUGAUAUGUUGAUGAUUUAAAGGACGAAAAUUUAUUGGAAAUACACUAUAAAAGGUAUAGGCAAUGAAUAGGAUGUUCUACACUUAAUCAAAUUUUUUAACGCAAAUUCCAGUGAGACGACACGAAUUUAACGCGUCGCGUCGAUAUGCCUAACGCGUUGACCAACGCAUCGCGUCGAUAAGUGCUACACAUAAUCAAAUUGAGCCGACAACAGCUGGAGCUUUUACCUAUUCUAAUUUGAAUUGCAUGGUACAGUUGUCUAGGCAAGAGGGAAUCUUUGAAAUCAUUAGGGAUUUUAUAAUCCUAUAUGGAUUUGGAGAAAAAAAUAUUAUUAUAAUAUAAAAGGUGGACAGCUGGUACCAUUACAAAAUCCUUGUUCAAAUUGCACAAAUCUUGGAAAAAGGAGGACAAUUAAAUAAUAUACUAAGGGGUCAAUUCGGUGGACGGCACAAUUACUUGGGAGAAGACACGGAUUGGAGAAAAAUAAAGCGGAGGCGGUUACCCAGUUAAUUAGGUGUUAAUUUUUUUAUUUAGUCUUUAAUUUUUCAUUUGAUGUAUUCAAUUAUUUUGAUCGUGAUUAUGAAUAUUAAUGACUAAAAAAAUUUAUUUUCGAGGUUAAAGCCAAGAGCAUGAGUAUUAUUAUUUUGAAUUAAUUUCAUUAAUUUUGUUUAUCAUAUUUGGUUGUUUGUUUAUUCUUGCUUUAAUUAUUUUAUGAAUUGACCACCCAUAAUAUAUAUAUAUAUAUAUAUAUAUAUAUAUAUAUAUAUAUUUGACCUUUUGAUCUUGGGAGAGGGAAUAGGGAGAUAGAAUAUGGGAAUAAAUAAAAUUUGGGUUUUUAUUAUUUUAUAAAAUAAAGAAUUAAAUUUAGCGUCUAGGACAGGGAUGUACUUAGAUGCCUUACUUGAUUCAUACGUAGGAUGAUAGCUUUAAUUAACUUAAUUGAAUUAUUACAUUCUCGCUCAAUGAUAUAGUUAUAAUAUCCGCAUUAGGUAAAAAAAUUAUAGGUUGGGAAACCAUGAUCAUGCAAUUAAACCUACGAAUCAACAACCAAGAUAACCAAAUUAGCGAAUGAGAUUCGAUAACAUAGUAUGAUUGUUCGGAGUGCUUUAACCCUGGUCUUUACUCCAUUGCUUGUUCCAAGAAUUUAUUUUUCCGCAUUAUUUAUUUUAUUUUUAAUUUACAAAAUAAUUUGAAAUUCUCUUUUUGGUUACUUUUGCACUAAAUUAAACUAGACGGUGAACUAAAAUUAAAUCGCUGUUAAAUCAAAUCUAUGUGGAAUCAAUAUUCGGCUUUCUUGAAGGCCACUACAUUACUUGGUAGACCAUGUACACUUGCGUGUGUGUUGUCAGUAAUGUUGAAAAAUUAUUUCAAAAAAAUAGAAAAAAUGUAUACUCAUUUAUAUAGUUCAUGAAAUUUAUACUUACAAGUUUCUUCCGGUGCUUUCCAACUGUGAUAGAGCCACAUGUGUGUGUCCCAGUAGCUACUUCACGACCACCACAAUGGUUCUUUGAGUUUAUCUCUGACUUUUUAAUGCAGUCUUCACUUUCCCAAAUUUUCAUCAACCUUUCCUACACAUGGUAAUUUAUAAAUUCUAGUUGAAUUGUAGCUCUGUGAUUUUUAUAUUAGAAAUAAAAUUCUUGUAGUAUAUUGCAGCCUUCUUCGACCAUUGUUGCUUCACCAUAAUAUCACUAACGAAAGCACCCCAGUAGAAAUUCUUCUGAAAUACAAUUUAAAGUAAUAUAAUUAUUCACUUUGUAAACUAAACAACAAAUUAAACUAUCAAAUUGGAUAACGUCAAAAUGAUAAAAGUUGAGAUAAUUGUUCUGCAAAUUAAAACAAUUGUUGUGUGUUGCUUUCAAGUGGAAUUAAUGAAUUUGAAUUACAUGUUCAUUGCAAACUCAAAUAAGUGAUAUGUGUUGUCGUAUGAAUACAACUUCUAUCUCGACUAUGAUUUAAAAAAAUAUACCUUGAAUUCUCAAAAAUAACCAUCUUUGACAUCUUUUGAGACACCUUUCAAAUUGAUCCCAGUGGGAUCAACUUCACUUUUAAAAGACAAUGUAAUGGAACUGGAGCAUUUUGUAGAAGGUUCCAACCUUUACAACAUCAAAUCCAACAGCUCCAAUAAUUGAUUUAACAAUACAUGCACCUUUUAGUACUAUUAUAUAAUUGAGGAACAUCAUCUCAACGUGUUUUUUCCCUGUCAUACCCAUUUUUUAUCUAAGGUCAAAAUGAACACAACAUUAUGAACUUUAAAAAGAAUUAAUUUGUACAGAGUCUCCACCUAAGUUUUAAGGAAAAAUAGAAAACCUACUUAUUUAUUAACAAGUUUGAUUUUUUAUUUCAAUCUGCGAACCAAUUUAAAUUCUAGGUAAGGGUUCAAAUUAUUUCGAAGGGAAGAGAUUAGGCACCCAGAAUCCACAAAUGUGGUUCCCGACCAGACUUAGGUUUCUUAUUAAAAGAGAAAAAGAAAAAUCAAUGUUUGUAAAUACAAAAAUAAUAUAAUGCAUAUGUUAUUGCAAUAUAUAUAUAAACGCACGUAAAGAUGCAUAAACAAAAUUAUAUAAGAAUAUAUACAAAAGAAAGGAAAAGAUUGAAUAAAAAAGAAAUUGAUUUUAAAAAAAAUUACAUAAUGUUUUUUAGUGUAAGAAGUGUGAAUUAUUUAAUUAAAUAUCUAAAUUAAUUUUAAUAUAAUUAUUAACGGCCUAAAUUUGCCUAAACUCAUGAUAAGGAUUGUAUAAAUAAAGACCAUCCCGGCUCACCACCCCAAAGAUAAAGUUUUCACUAUGAUAAUAUUUGUACAAGUAUAAAAAUAUAAAAGUACAACACAAUUUAAAGUCUUCUUUAAAUGUCAUUCCCAACGAAUAUUCUCAAACACCUGUAACAAAAAUGUUAGUAACAAAUAAAUAAUUAUCAAAAUAAAUUUAAAAGGUAUGUGUGCCUAUAUGUAUUUAAAAAAUAAAAUUUUUGCUAAAAAAUGAGCUCGAAUUAAAUUUUAGAUACGUCAUGACUUCGAAGUGGUUGGUCAAUGUGUUGACCUUCCUAAAUCGCCUUGUUAAAACCUACCCUCUGAAGUUUUUCUCCCUUUUUUUUUAUUUGUGUUAUAUUAUGUAAAAUUAAUUAAUCCAACUCAUUAUUUACGGAUUGGAAUAAAUAUACAAAAAUAUAGGUAUUGAUGUGUAAUUACAGAAAAAUAUAAAGAAUAUUGAAAUUAUUGAAAUGUAAUUAAUUUUAAAAUAUUUUAAAAUAAUGUGAUGUCAAUAUUGUGAAAAUUAAAGAUGAUAAUGAAUUGAUAAAAAUCCUAAUAUACGGAGAAUUAUCAAUAAAUUAUAAAAAGUAAAAAUAUGAAGAUAAAUUGAUAAAAUUCUAAAGUAAGGAUGAAUAUCAAUAAUUUAUUAACAAUUAUAAAAAAUAUGUGAAAAUUGUCCUUUGUGUUAUUUAAUGAUUAGAAAGCCUGAAGACGUUAAUUUUAAUCAUGGAUAGCAAAAAUUGGGUGUCAACAAUUUUUUCUUUACAUUUGAGGACGAUGUAGAAGUCUUCAGAUGAAAAUGUUGACGUGUAGCCAAUUUUUCUAGAUAAAAAUGAUAUAUAUUUUUUAUUUUUGAAGAAAAUUUGACCGAACUCUAACUCAGAGUUGCCUAUGUACCUCUAGUUGUAUGAGGAUCAGAUCAGGUGUAGUUCAAAAUGUGAAAAAUACGAAAAAAAAUUAGGCACUUCUAAAAAUUUGCACAGUGUAGGAUUCAUGACUAAUAUUUGGAGUGAUGGUCCAUUGUGUUUCAUUGAAAGGCGGACGACCUAUUUUGAAUGUAAUAUGUCACUUUAAACGGAGUGAUGGUCCAAUGUGUCUCAUUGAAAGGCGGACGACCUAUUUUGAAUGUAACAUGUUACUUUGAAUAGAGUGACGGUCCAAUGUGUCUCAUUAAAAGGCAGCUGACCUAUUUUAAAUGUAAUAAGUCACUUUGUGUGGAGUGAUGGUCCAAUGUGUCUCUUUGAAAGGCGAACGACCUAUUUUUAAUGUAAUAUGUCACUUUAAAUGGAGUGGUGGUCCAAUGUGUCUCAUUGAAAGACGUACGACCUAUUUUGAAUGUAACAUAUCACUUUAAGCGGAGUGACGAUCCAAUGUGUCUCUUUGAAAGGAGGACGACCUAUUUUGAAUGUAACAUGUCACUUUAAACAGUGUGACGGUCCAAUGUGUCUCAUUGAAAGACGGACAACCUAUUUUGAAUGUAAUAUGUCACUUAGAGCGGAGGGAUGGUCCAAUAUUUCUCUUUGAAAGGAGGACGGGCUAUUUUGAAUGUAACCGUCACUUUGAAUGGAGUGACGGUCCAAUGUGUCUCAUUGAAAGGCGGAUGACCUAUUUUGAAUAUAACAUGUCACUUUGAAUAGAGUGACGGUCCAAUGUGUCUUUUUGAAAGGCGGACGACCUAUUUUGAAUGUAGCAUGUCACUUUGAAUGGAGUGUUGGUCUAGUAUGUCUUAUUGAAAUGUAGAUGACCUAUUUUGAAUAUAACAUGUCACUUUGAACGGAAUGGCGGUCCAAUGUGUCUUAUUGAAAGACGGAUGACCUAUUUUCAAUGUAACAUAUCACUUUAAGCGGAGUGACGGUCCAAUCUAUCUCAUUAAAAGGCAGAAACCUAUAUCGAAUGUAACAUGUCACUUUGAAUAGAGUGACGGUCCAAUUUGUCUCAUUGAAAGGCGGGCGAUCUAUUUUAAAUGUAACAUGUCACUUUUGAUCGGAGUUACGAUCCAAUGUAUCUCAUUGAAAGGCAGACGACCUAUAUCGAAUGUAACAUUUUACUUUGAAUGAAGUGACGGUCCAAUGUGUCUCAUUGAAAGGUAGACAACCUAUUAUAAAUGUAACAUGUCACUUUGAACGGAGUGACGGUCCAAUGUGUCUCAUUGAAAGGCAGACAACCUAUAUCGAAUGUAACAUGUCACUUUGAAUGAAGUGAUAGUCCAAUAUUCCUUAACUGUAUUUGGUACCUACAAUUAGUAGUAUGUAUAAGAAUUCCCCAUUUUUUUCCCAGCUAACCGAGAUCGACUUCAGGAUAACACCUAUAGUUUCAAGUGGUACCUCAGACAUGCCUAAGUAUCGACAAGAUUUGUUCUUCUUGCUUCAAACAAAGAUUUUGAACUAUGCCUAUUCUCAUGUUUCAAGUGUCCUCUCUAGAAAGAAUGUCUCGUUCUCAUACCUAUUUGAAUAUUUUUCUUUAAAUGUAGAGACAUUCGGAGCUAUACACUUACACUCAGAAAUAAAUUCAAUGAAUGCAAUUGUGAUACCAUAGGCUUGGCCUUCAUGUAAGUAUCUCUAAUGUGAGAACACUUAGCGUAGGAUUUUGUAGGACUUGUUAUUAGCUUGUAAUGUAGGUUUAGAGAUGGGUAGGAAGAUAUUUGGAUUGAAAGUGACUAAUUCCUCAAUGAGCAUUGCACUAUAUUCGUGCUUUUGAUAUUUUUUGCGCUUUGACGUUCAAUAUUUUUUAUUGUGCUUCUUUACCCCUUGUUUUGUAUUUUCUUCGACUUGUGUUGGAUUUUUUUCCCUUUUUUUCCUAACAUAUUUUUUUUUUUAUGAUGGUGAUUCUCCAUCUUUAUCGGAGUUAUCUCUUUUUUUGGUGAGAGGGGAGAGGGGUUGCUCAUUCUGAAGUCAUUUUUGUUCAUCUGGGAUAAUAUAUUCUUUGUCAUUUGUGUCUUUAAUUUCCCACAAUUUGCACGUAUUUAGCACGCUCAAGGAGAUAGGGCUAAGAGAGGAAUAGUGCAUGUAAGCACUCAAAAUAUAUAGGCUCAGAUGUGGUUAUCUAGAGAAAAGGUUUCAGGCUCAAAGGGGGAAAUGCUAGGGAUUAAUGUGAUUUGAUGGGUUGUGAAAGGCACAAUCGGGUAAAAAAAAGCCUACAAUUCUUUUCCAAACUAAGUGUAACUCAGAAUUUAGCUUCAACAGACAUUGAGGACAAGUUCUGGAUCAACAAUACAGUCAAAUGAACUAGUCUAAAUCUCACCACACAAUGCACUUAAAACGAUGAGGUUGGCUUUGUUCUUAUCUUAAAUGUAUGCAAGAGAAUUUUCGAGUGUUACUCAGGUUUGAUUAAAAGGUACCAAAGGAAUCUAUGAUUUACCACGAAGUUGGUCUUCUCCAUCAGAUCAAUUUAUUCUUUCUCACGCACACUCCUAACUAUGUUGGUACCAACCAAGUCAAAAUUCUGAAUUUUUAUUCAUUUGGAAAAUAUAAUAGGACCGAACCCAAAUGAGGGUUGCCUGCGUAUCUUGUGAAAACAAGAAUCAGGUUUACGUAGUUCAGACAAACUUGUAAAUUUAUAUGUGCAAUAUAUAAUUGUAAAAAGGUGAUGGUUAUUCAUGAAAGCAAUGUAAAAGAUGUUAAAAAAAGAACUGGUUUUAGCAUCAAAAUUAUUCUGAUCAGAUAACUGAGAGGAUAGGUGUCAAGCAUGAGGAGAUCUUUGACACAACUUCGGUAUGCUGACAAGAUUGAGAAAGUCAGACAUUGAAGGAAUUAUGACAUUAUUUUGCCACAGUUGACUGGAUUAUUAUGAAUGAAAGAAUAUUGAACCCUUUCUUUGAAAGUGGGGAUCGAUACAUCAUAAAUUUAAUAGUUUAUGAUGUUCGAAAGAAGAAGCUAGGGGUUCUCAGACCAAAAUUGGGUGAGGAUUUGAAGGUAAGACAGCUAGCACUAAUGUUAUUGGGAAUUUGCGCUCUUGAAGACUUUUGGAGAGCGUUUUUGAACUAUUUUUGAAAAAUUGCCCCAGUUGAUUUCUAGAUAAAUUAUUCCAAAACAGUGAAGAGACCGAACCCUAAUACAGGUUGCCUACAUAUUUUGUCAGGACAAGAAUCAAGUCAAAACGUAGUUUAAACCUAUACACAACUAGUGGCGAUGUUGGUAAGGUGUAUCUUUUAACUGAUCAACCCCACAAAACAAAGAUUAGAUUACACCUUCACACAAAAGAAUAAAUACUUUAGAACAAAUAAAUAUGUACAGACACAAUAAUCCUUCAAAUAUGUACAAAGACUAGAAUAAUGUGUCACGUGGAUUGUGAACCCUUCGAACAUAAAGUUGACUAAUGAUGCAUGUGCCUAAAAAAAUGUUGUUCUAGCUCUAUCCUAUGUUCGACUAAGAGUGGGUUUGCUAUACCUGUGGUUCUUGAGCGGACUACUAGAGUGAGAAGGCUAUGCGGGCACACAGAAAAAGAUCUUGACACCCCACGCAUACGUCAACUCUCCUAAAAUUUAGGAUUUUGAAAGAAACUUGCGGGUGCACAAAACACACUUCACUUGUAUAUGUGAUUGUGUCAGCUUUCCCAAAGGGAAGAAAUAUGAACGGGAUGGCAGUUUAUAUAACGGAAUAAGCAGAUAAAAAAGCUAUACAAAACAAAUAAUAAUUUAUGCCACACAAAUAAAAUAAAUCAAGACAGUUAGAAAGAAACAAAUAAUAAUGUAGAAAAAUAUAAAUAUUUACCUAAAUCUACAAUGGCUAGAACCUCUCAUCCCCAACAGAGUCUCUAUUCUGUCAUAACUAAAUUUUACCUAAGGUUAAAACGAGCACGACAUUAUGAACUCUAAAAAGAAUUAAUUUGUAUAGAGUCGCCACCUAAUUAAGGAAAAAUAGGAAACCUACUUAUUUAUUAACAAGUAUGAUUUUUAUUUCAAUCUGCAAACUAGUUUAAAUUCUAGGUAAGGAUUUAAAUUAUUUCGAAGGAAAAGGGAUUAGACACCCUUCAGAAUCCACAAAUAUGGUUCCCGACCAAACUUAGGUUUAUUAUUAAAAGAGAAAAAAGAAAAAUCAAUGUUUGCAAAUACAAAAAUAAUAUAAUACAUAUGUUAUUGCAAAAUAUAUAUAAACGCACAUCAAGAUGCAUAAACAAAAUUAUAUAAGGAUAUAUAAAAAAGAAAGACAAAGAUUGAAUAAAAAAACUGAUUUUAGAAAAAAUUACAUAAUGUUUUUUAGUGUAAAAAGUGUGAAUUAUUUAAUUAAAUAUCUAAAUUAAUUUUAAUAUAAAUAUUAAUGGCCUAAAUUUGCCUAAACGCGUGAUAAGAAUUGUAUAAAUAAAGAACAUGCCCGCCUAAUACCCCAAAGAUAAAGUUUUCACUAAGAUAAUAUUUGUACAAGUAUAAAAAUAUAAAAGUACAACACAAUUUAAAGUCAUCUUUAAAUGUCUUUCCUGACAAUAUUCUCAAACACCUGUAUAAGCACUUGUAACAAAAAUGUUAGUAGAAAAUAAAUAAUUAUCAAAAUAAAUUUAAAAGGUAUGUGUGCAUAUAUGUAUUUAAAAAAUAUAAUUUUUGCUAAAAAGUAAGCUCGAAUUAAAUUUUAGAUAUGUCAUGGCUAUGAAGUUGUUGCUUAAUUUGUUGGCUGUCCUAUUGCGUUGUUAUAAAAAUUUUGUCAUCUCCCAAAAUAUUUAUUUUAUUACGUAUUUAUGUACAUAAUAUUCAUCUUUUUAUUUGUGAUGGCCUCGAAAAUCGAUGGAGAAUUUUUCAUCGGUCAAGUGUCGGCCCUUGAUAUAAAAUAGUAAAUUUGAGAAUGCAAAUUUGUUACUGAAGAGCUGUUUUGUACUUUCCCACAAAUAGUCUAUCAAAAAUUAAUGCAAGGCUACAAUUACUUCGAAGCUACGAAUCAAAUUCAUCAUCAUUAGUGGGAGGAGGAUCAAGCAAGACACCUUUUUUUACCCUAAUACCACCAAUACACUCAAUAACUACUGGAAGAAAGUGGAUAGUAAGUGCCAGAAUCAAUUGCUUCACAAACUCGUCCAAAUUUGUUGUCAGUAUAGAAGAAACCAAAGGUGGUACUUGAUGUGGAGGUAUUACAGGCACAAAGAUUUUUUCCAAAGUACCUUUCAACUUUAGAUCCGAGACCAAAUAAUCUUUUCAUCUUUACUCCUCCCGCAGCUUCAUAAUAUGAUUCCAAUUGAUUAAUUUUAGAUUCACACUGUCUUUUUACCAGUACAAUUUCUUCAUACUUUUGUUGUAACAAGUGGAGGUAUUAAAAUACACUCAAGUUCCUGUUGCUUCUUUUAUUUUCAUGUAUAAUAAGAACUUUCGACAGAUGUCAAUACAAAAAAAAGAUAAGAAUAUCAUCAUAUCAUUAGAUGUAAAUUAUGGACUUACAUGGAGAAGUCGGGAAUGCUCACCAACAAAAGAUUUUCCAUCAUGAUUAUGUGUAUGGACAUGCAAAUGUAACUCACUUAGAGUUGGAUCUCGACCUAUUUUAAUAGACUAUUCAAACAAAUAAAAGUCAAGAUUUGCUUCAUCAAGAAGUAGGAGUAGAAAACUAGAAACCCAAGAAUAUAACAAAAUAGCAGUAGACGAAAGAACAUAAAUAUAGCAGCAAACCAAAGAAUAUUGCAGAAAAUCAAUAAUUUUUAGGAAUUUAGAAUUAGUUGUAGACCAAAAAACAUAGCAGCAAACCAAAGAAUAUAGCAGCAAGCCAAAGAAUAUAGCAGCAAAUCAACAAUUUCAAGGAAUUUAGAAUUAGACCAAAGAACAUAGUAGCAUACCAAAGAAUAUAGCAGCAAACUAAUCAACAAUUUCUUGGAAUUUAGCUGCAGACUAGAGCAUAUAGCAGCACAACAAAAAAUAUAGCAUCAAACAAAUAAAAAAAGUACUACACCAUAAAAUGACCACAUUGCAAUCCUAUAUGUAAAACAGAGUACUCACAGGAGUUCAAAAUGCUACAUUGCUUCGACAUGAUUAUCUUAAGUACCAUAGUAAUCGCAGGAGUUCAAAAAGGAAUAAAAAAAAGAGAUGAGAUUCAUGUGGCAUGAGUAAUGUUGAAAAAUUAAUUAAAAAAAUAGAAAACAUUUAUACUCAUUUAUAUAGUUCAUGAAAUUUAUACUUACAAGUUUCUUCCGGUGCUUUUCAACUGUGAUAGAGCCAUCUGUGUGAGUCCCAAUAGCUACUUCACGACCACCACAAUGGUUCUUUGAAUUUAUCUCUGACUUUUUAAUACAAUCAUCACUUUCCCAAAUUUCUAUCAACCUUUCCUACACAUGGUCAGUUAUAAAUUCUGGUUGAACUGUAGCUCUGUGAUUUUUAUUUUAGAAAUGAAAUUCUUGUAGCAUAUUGCAGCCUUCUUCGUCCAUUAUUUCUUCACCACAUUAUCACUAACGAAAGCAUCCCAAUAGAAAUUCUUCUGAAAUAGAGUUUAAAGUAAUAUAAUUAUUCACCUUGUAAACUGAAAAACAAAUUAAACUGUUAAAUUGGAUAACGUCAAAAUGAUAAAAGUUGAGAUAAUUGUUCUGCAAAUUAAAACAACUACUGUGGGUUACUUUCAAGUGGAAUUAAUGAAUUUGAAUUACGUGUUCGCUGCAUUCAAACAACUGAUAUGUGUUGUCAUAUGAAUACAAAUUCUAUCUCGAUUAUGAUUUAAAAAAACAUACCUUGAAUUCUCAAAAAUAACCAUCUUUGACAUCUUUUGAGACACCUUUCAAAUUGAUUCCAUUGGGAUCAACUUCACUUUUGAAAGACAUUGUAAUGAAACUAGAGCAUUUUGUAGAAAGUUCCAACCUAAACAACAUCGAAUCCAACAGAUCCAAUAAUUGAAUUAACAAUAAAUGCACCUUUUAGUACUGUUAUAUAAUUGAGGAACAUCAUCUCAACAUAUUUCUUCCUGGUCAUACCCAAUUUUUACCUAAGGUUAAAACGAUCAAGACAUUAAAAACUCUAAAAAGAAUUAAUUUGUAUAGAGUCACUACCUAAUUUUUAAGGAAAAAUAGAAAACCUACUUAUUUAUUAACAAGUAUGAUUUUUAUUUCAAUCUGUGAACCAAUUUAAAUUCUAGUUAAGGGUUCAAAUUAUUCCAAAGGGAAGGGAUUAGGCACCCUACAGAAUCCACAAAUGUGGUUCCCGACCAGACUUAGGUUUAUUAUUAAAAGAGAAAAAUAUAUCAAUUUUUGCAAAUACAAAAAUAAUAUAAUGCAUAUGUUAUUGCAAAAUAUAUAUAAACACACGUAAAGAUGCAUAAACAAAAGUAUAUAAGGAUAUAUAAAAAAGAAAGUCAGAGAUUGAAUGAAAAAGAAAUUGAUUUUAGAAAAAUUACAUAAUAUUUUUUAGUGUAAAAAGUGUGAAUUAUUUAAUUAAAUAUCUAAAUUAAUUUUAAUAUAAAUAUUAACGGCCUAAAUUUGCCUAAACGCGUGAUAAGAAUUGUAUAAAUAAAGAACAUCCCUGCCCAACACUCCAAAGAUAAAGUUUUCACUUUGAUAAUAUUUGUUCAAUUAUAAAAAUGUAAAAGUACAACACAAUUUCAAGUCUUCUUUAAAUGUUUUUCCCGACGAAUAUUCUCAAACACCUAUAUAAACACCUGUAACAAAAUGUUAGAAAUAAAUAAAUAACUAUCAAAAUAAAUUUAAAAGGUAUGUGUGCAUAUAUGUAUUUAAAAAAUAUAUUUUUUUGCAAAAAAGUGAGCUUGACUUAAAUUUUAGAUACGUCAUGGCUACGAAGUGGUUAUUUAAUUUGUUGGCCGUCCUAUUGGGUUGUUACAAAAUUUUAUCAUAGCCCAAAAUAUUUAUUUUAUUCCGUAUUUAUAUAUGCAAUAUCCGUCUUUUUAUUUGUGAAGGCCUCCUAAAUCGACAGAGAAUUUUUUCAUCAGUCAAGUGUCGGUCCUUGAUAUAAAAUAGUAAUUUUGAGAAAGUAAAGUCCAUGUUUUGUAAUGGGGUGGCCUCAAAUAUCCGACGGAGAGAUAAUUUCAUCGGCUAAGUGUCGGUCCUUGAUAUAAAAUAAUAAAUUUGAGAAAGUAAAGUCCGUCUGUUGUAACGGGAUGGCCUCAAAAAUUUGACGGAGAGAUAAUUUCAUUGGGCAAGAUAUUAAAACUGCUUUAUACUAACUAAUAAUUCCAAAAAAUGAAUAAAAAUGACAACUAUAUUUAAAAGUAGUUCUAAAACAACAACAAAUAAUAGCCAUUGAAAUAAUAUAGCCGGUAGAACAAUUGCAAAAGUAACCUGGCCCCAAAAGAUGAAUUCUUCUCAAAUAAAUUUAUUCAAAAAUAAUAAAUGGGUAAGAUAGUAAAAUUAUAACCUUAACCAGUAGCCAAAUAUAACAUCAAUAAUGAAACAUAACAACCACCAAAUAAGUUGAGAGCACAAGCAAAGCCAAAUGGAGCAACCAGUAUGAACAAAGGUCGACUAAAACAACCUUAUUGAAGUUCAAAUCUCUGGCCCAAUAUGGCAAUUAAGGCAGUAUAACUCAUUUAUAAAUAAUUAAAAAAAAGCAAAUUAGAAAUAAAAAGAAUCAGCCGCGGGUAGAGCUAGUUCACUGCUUUCGGUGAUGGAGGCUUCACUGAGAAUGCGGAGAAAAAAAAGAAACGCACAAGUGGCUGUAACUGAAACUUCACUUGCAUCAACUCCGGCGAGGCUCAAAGAAAAAGAUGGAAAAGGAAAAGAGGAAAGAGGGGCGGCUAGUGGAGGUUUGGCUAGAGCUCGGAGCUUUGCAGUCCAUCGCUUCCGGCGAAGCAGUGACGGUAAAGUGAGAGAAAGGGAAAGGGGAAAAGGAAGAUGAGGGGCGACAGUGAUGGUAGUGGUCACCAGCACCGGUCAAGGCUGUUGGCAGCAGUGAAGAGGGGAGUGGGAGAUUACCGAGAGAGAGGGGAUAUUUUUUGUGUGGAUAAGCCUGUAUUCUGUAUAUUGUUAGGUGUGUGGAUAUAUUGUCAUUUGUAAAUAAAUUAUGUGGCUCCCCUUUUAUGUGCUGAGAGGGUAGAAAUUUAAAACCUACCUUUUGAAGUUUGUCUCCCUUUUUUUCUUUUGUGUUAUACUAUGUAAAAAUAAUUAAUCCAGCUUAAUUGCGAAUUGGAAUAAAUAUACAAAAAUAU
rnacentral:lncRNA from 1 species